rnacentral:misc_RNA from 1 species
UUGUACCCACAGUGGUAUAGGAG